CUACGGGGCGCACCAGUGAGGAAUUUUGCGCAAUGGGGGAAACCCUGACGCAGCAACGCCGCGUGAGCGAAGAAGGCCCUCGGGUCGUAAAGCUCUGUCAAGUGGGAAAAAAAUUUUUUGAUCAAUAGUCAAAAGACUUGAUGGUACCACUGGAGGAAGCACCGGCUAACUCCGUGCCAGCAGCCGCGGUAAUACGGAGGGUGCGAGCGUUGUUCGGAUUUACUGGGCGUAAAGAGCGUGUAGGCGGUUUAGCAAGUCAGAUGUGAAAGCCCUGGGCUCAACCCGGGAAGUGCAUUUGAAACUGCUUCACUAGAGUAUGGGAGAGGAGAUUGGAAUUCCUGGUGUAGAGGUGAAAUUCGUAGAUAUCAGGAGGAACACCCGUGGCGAAGGCGAUUCUCUGGACCAAUACUGACGCUGAGACGCGAAAGCGUGGGGAGCAAACAGGAUUAGAUACCCUUGUAGUC
rnacentral:rRNA from 1 species